rnacentral:rRNA from 1 species
GACGAACGCUGGCGGCGUGCCUAAUACAUGCAAGUAGAACGCACAGUUUAUACCGUAGCUUGCUACACCAUAGACUGUGAGUUGCGAACGGGUGAGUAACGCGUAGGUAACCUGCCUGGCAGCGGGGGAUAACUACUGGUAACGAUAGCUAAUACCGCAUAAUAUUAAUUAUUGCAUGAUAAUUAAUUGAAAGGAGCAAUUGCACCACUACCAGAUGGACCUGCGUUGUAUUAGCUAGUAGGGGGGGUAACGGCUCACCUAGGCGACGAUACAUAGCCGACCUGGGAGGGUGGUCGGCCACCCUGGGACUGGGACACGGCCCAGACUCCUACGGGAGGCAGCAGUAGGGAAUCUUCGGCAAUGGACGAAAGUCUGACCGCGCAACGCCGCGUGAGUGAAGGAGGUUUUCGGAUCGUAAAGCUCUGUUGUAAGGGAAGAACGGGUGUUAGAGUGGAACGUUCACACUGUGACGGUAUCUUACCAGAAAGGGACGGCUAACUACGUG